AUGGAAGCUUCCCAGUGGCACUGGAAAACAGACUCUAAAGUGUUGUUACCAGGCUCUCCCAACACAGAAGUACCCCAGGGUCUCUCUCCACUUUCCAAUAAGCUUUCUGUGAAGACUUCCUACAGGAGGACCAAGUUCGAGUUAUUCUACAGUGACAUGACUGCCGAACUCUGUGACAAUAAAGAUCAGGAUGACUCUCUCUGAAUUCUAAAUUCUCCAGAGGUAAGAGAACAACGUCCUCUAGGAAGGGCCUAUUUCUGUAUGUGGUCCAUGUGGAUCACCAGCCAAGGUACCCACUCAAAUGGAGGAAGAUGCCUUGUAGGUCGAGGGAGUCUUUUGUUCUUUAACCUAUAGGAAUUAGUACCUGGGGGCAGCAGGUCUUUUUCUAUCUUGCCACCUCAAUCUAGCAGUCCUCAAGGAGCCAACAAAAGGAACCUGGGCUGCAGCACCACUAGCAGUGGGCAGCACCAGACAACUCAGCGCCCCCUGCUGGAGACAGCGUGUGCCGCAGGCGAGGCUGGAUAGCGUCGUCCCCUGUGAUCUCUGUUCUUCCAGAAUCGAAGGACGCUGAGCGAUGGGUAUAGAUGAGGCAGCAUCUGCAGCCCCCAUGGCUGGAGGUCCCAAAUUCUGAGGCGAUUGUAUAAGCCCUGUGUACCUCGCAUCACAGAAACUAUGGUUUUGAAAGUCCAAU
rnacentral:lncRNA from 1 species